rnacentral:rRNA from 1 species
GACGAACGCUGGCGGCGUGCUUAACACAUGCAAGUCGAACGGAAAGGCCCUGCGUUUGUGGGUUGCUCGAGUGGCGAGCGGGUGAGUAACACGCGAGUAACCUGCCCUUGACUUUGGGAUAACUUUAGGAAACUGGGGCUAAUACCCGAUAUGAGCUCCUGCUGCAUGGUGGGGGUUGGAAAGUUUCGGCGGUUGGGGAUGGACUCGCGGCUUAUCAGCUGGUUGGUGGGGUAGGGGCUUACCAAGGCUAUGACGGGUAGCCGGCAUGAGAGGGUGACCGGCCACAUUGGGACUGAGAUACGGCGCAGAAUGCUACGGGAGGCAGCAGUGGGGAAUAUUGCACAAUGGGCGGAAGCGUGAUGCAGCGGCGCCGCGUGCGGAAUGCCGGCCUUCGGGUUGUAAACAGCUUUCGCCUGUGACGAAGCGUGAGUGACGGUAAUGGGUAAAGAAGCACCGGCUAACUACGUG